rnacentral:rRNA from 1 species
GUGUCAGCCGCCGCGGUAAUACGGAGGGUGCGAGCGUUAAUCGGAAUAACUGGGCGUAAAGCGCAUGCAGGUGGUUAGUUAAGUCAGAUGUGAUAGGGCGGGGCUCAACCUCGGAAUUGCAUUUGAAACUGGCAGGCUAGAGUACUGUAGAGGGGGGUAGAAUUUCAGGUGUAGCGGUGAAAUGCGUAGAGAUCUGAAGGAAUACCGGUGGCGAAGGCGGCCCCCUGGACAGAUACUGACACUCAGGUGCAAAAGCGUGGGGAGCAAACAGGAUUAGAUACCCGGGUAGUCC